CUCAUCGAAUGCAUGACUGUAGGUUACCCCGGGGUCCUCCCUGAAAGACAUUUUGAAUUGACAGAUCACUACAACUCUGUGACUCUUAGGAUUUAGAUUGCAACUCAUUUGUGUGCAUGUUUGCUGGCUUUAACCUGU